CUCGUCUGAGGGGACGCGAGGACUGUCCUCGCUGCCGUCGUGGGCAGUGUCUGGCCUGGCCCUGACAAGCGAGCGGGAGGAGCGCCUGAGAGCCCGAGCCGGAGCCCGGCGAGCGCAGCUGCAGCUCCCGCCUCGCCGUCCCGGGGGAGGGGGCGUCUCGCCUCGCACCCCGCCUCUGGACUUGCCCCCUUUCUCUGCGCGUGCGGACCGAGCCAGCGCUUAGGCCGGAGCGAGCCCGGGAGCCGCCGGCCGGGAAGGCACCGCGGGCACCGAUUCGCCAUG
rnacentral:other from 1 species